rnacentral:pre_miRNA from 1 species
AUAUGCAUAUACAAAUGAUGAUGAUGAUGAUGAUGAUGAUCACUAUUGUUCUGAUCAUCAUGAUCAUCAUCAUCAUCAUCAUCAUCAUUUAACG